rnacentral:rRNA from 1 species
AUUGCCUACGGGGGGCAGCAGUAGGGAAUCUUCGGCAAUGGACGAAAGUCUGACCGAGCAACGCCGCGUGAGUGAAGAAGGUUUUCGGAUCGUAAAACUCUGUUGGUAGAGAAGAACGUUGGUGAGAGUGGAAAGCUCAUCAAGUGGCGGUAACUACCCAGAAAGGGACGGCUAACUACGUGCCAGCAGCCGCGGGAAUACGUAGGUCCCGAGCGUUGUCCGGAUUUUUUGGGGGUAAAGCGAGCGCAGGUGGGUUAUUAAGUCUGGUGUAAAAGG